AUGCACUUUCUUCCCCGUCUUUCACUCUUCUUCCUCAUCUCUUCUUCUUCCUCCUCUCUUCUUCUUCCUCCUCUCUUCCCCAUCAUUGGCUGCACACCAUUUCCCCCCGCUCAUUGCUCGCUCGCCUGCGCCAUCUUCCUUGUGCUACCGGCUGGCGUCAAGUUCGAUCCCACGGAUCAGGAGCUGAUCGAGCACCUUGAGGCCAAAGUGAGUGCUGACAGCGCGAGAUCUGACCCUCUCAUCAAUUUGUUCAUACCAACCAUCAACAAUGAGCACGACAUAUGCUACACCCAUCUUGAGAAACUUCCAGGUAUCACACUGAGUGGCCUAAGCAAGCAUUUCUUCCAGCGCAAUUCUAGGGCAUUCAAAAGGGACACGUGGACGUGUUGCAAGAUACAGUCGGGGUGCGGCAUGCAUGCGAUGUGGCACAAGACCGGCAAUACCUUGCUGGUGAUGGUCAUCGGCCGGCAGACAGGCAGCAAAAAGGUUCUAGUGCUGCACACCAACAAGAACUUUGACCAGCAGAGGACCAACUGGGUGGUGCACGAGUACCAACUCGGGUACCUGGAGCAAGAGUAG
rnacentral:rRNA from 1 species